GCAGUUGUCCUGAUACCGUCUGUGGGUAAGAAAGAGUAGUAGAGAGAAUAAAGAAUGGCGUAAGUUUUCCCAAAUGCCCGAGCUCUGAAAUUUUUUCGCUCUUUUCCCGAUAGCUGAAUCAGAUUUUUCUUUUGUCGAAGAACCAGGAAGCCCCACGGCAAAUUAUCAAAUAUGCGGCGCUACAGCACCAAUAAACUGUCCAAUUGCAUUACAAACAAUAACGGGGGAUGUAUUUGUCUCUGUUAUAAAUGAUCCUUGCCUGGGCAUGGAGACCUUGAAGGUAGCGUCAACAAGACCUAACUUCAGUGAAAACAAACUGUGUGAGAAGUUGAACUUCAGUUGUCAUUUGUCGCCAGUUUGUCAACGAAGCUGUUUGAACUGAGAAUCGGUUGUUUCACGGACGUUUCCUGGAUACAUUGGAGAAGACACUACUGUUUGCUGUAUGAUCGUUUAAUAUAUCUGCGUGGAACUUCGCUGUGGUGUACAUUCAAUUCCAGAGAGACCUACGUGGAGUUGUGGCAAAGCAGAUUACCAGGUCCUGAUGGCAGAGUUUUAUCCCAAGAGAAGUUGAAUAAGUUAACUUCAUAAAACUGAUUCACUAACACCUGAAAGUAAUACCCAAAAUUAGAAUAAAAACAGGGCUUAAGCCCGUCCACACGGUCGAUCUUAGAUCGACGAACCUUGUUCGAUGUGACGUCAGGAUAACUUCGGUAUCUACACCUGCGGGAAAAAUGUACUUUACUCUUCAAGACUGGUUUUGGUUCAAGAUUCAGUUUGCUAAAACUGAGGGUAAGCUUAGUGAAAUGUUUUUAAGACGAUGCAAGCAGAAUAAGAGGGAGAGAAACUGAGGAGAGAAACUGAGGAUCUGGCUUAGAUUGCAAUGUUUUGUAGCAUACAUUUUGCAAUGUUUUCAAUUGUGUAAUAGCUAUUUUAAAUUGCAAUAAACUGCUUUAAAUUAUCUAUACUAUGAAUGUAUGAACAUCUUACCUUCACCAACGGCAAUUACAUUUUAAUUAGUCAGUAUAUAUUUUAAGCGUAAUAUAAUUUUAAACAGAACGAGUGCAUUUAUG